CCUACGGGAGGCAGCAGUGAGGAAUAUUGGUCAAUGGACGAGAGUCUGAACCAGCCAAGUAGCGUGAAGGAUGACUGCCCUAUGGGUUGUAAACUUCUUUUAUAUGGGAAUAAAAUGUUCCACGUGUGGGAUUUUGUAUGUACCAUAUGAAUAAGGAUCGGCUAACUCCGUGCCAGCAGCCGCGGUAAUACGGAGGAUCCGAGCGUUAUCCGGAUUUAUUGGGUUUAAAGGGAGCGUAGGUGGAUUGUUAAGUCAGUUGUGAAAGUUUGCGGCUCAACCGUAAAAUUGCAGUUGAAACUGGCAGUCUUGAGUACAGUAGUGGUGGGCGGAAUUCGUGGUGUAGCGGUGAAAUGCUUAGAUAUCACGAAGAACUCCGAUUGCGAAGGCAGUUCACUGGACUGCAACUGACACUGAGGCUCGAAAGUGUGGGUAUCAAACAGGAUUAGAUACCCCAGUAGUC
rnacentral:rRNA from 1 species